GAUGAACGCUAGCGGGAGGCCUAAUACAUGCAAGUCGGACGGCAGCGGGCGCAGCAAUGCGUGCCGGCGAGUGGCGCACGGGUGAGUAACGCGUACGCAACCUACCCCCGGCCGGGGCAUAACCGCGGGAAACUGCGGAUAAUUCCGUAUGCCCCCUGGCGGCCGCAUGGCCGUUUGGGGAAAGUUUUCGGGCGGCCGGGGAUGGGCGUGCGUCCGAUUAGCCAGUUGGCGGGGUAACGGCCCACCAAGGCGACGAUCGGUAGGGGGCGUGAGAGCGUGGCCCCCCACACGGGUACUGAGACACGGACCCGACUCCUACGGGAGGCAGCAGUAAGGAAUAUUGGACAAUGGGCGGAAGCCUGAUCCAGCCAUCCCGCGUGCAGGAAGGAGGCCCUCUGGGUCGUAAACUGCUUUUCCCAGGGGAGAAACGCACGGUCUUGACCGUGCCUGACGGUAC
rnacentral:rRNA from 1 species